UACGGAUGGUGCAAGCGUUACUCGGAAUUACUGGGCGUAAAGCGUCCGCAGGCGUUUUCCCAAGUCUGACAUUAAAGUUCGGAGCUCAACUCCGUGAUGUGUCGGAAACUAGGAGAAUAGAGUCAUACAGAGGCAACUGGAAUUACGUGUGUAGGGGUAAAAUCCGUUGAUCCAAGUAGGAACGCCAAAAGUGAAGACAGGUUGCUGGGUAUGUACUGACGCUCAGGGACGAAAGCGUGGGGAGCGAACAGG
rnacentral:misc_RNA from 1 species